rnacentral:lncRNA from 1 species
AUACAUAGGUUAAGCAGUUAGUAAAGACCAAAUGGGAAGCUUCCAUUAAAAGAAGAACAAUAAUUUGGCCACUAAUUAUGUUUUUUCUUCUCUUAGGUAUUGCUUUAGGCCAGACAACCACUACCUGGCCCCCUGUUGCAUCAACACCAGUGCCUCCUAGUGCAGCCACCACCCAGGUCCCUGUUGCAUCAACCCCAGCACCUCCCAGUACAAUCACCACCCAGGUCCCCAUUGCAUCAACCCCAGUGCCUCCCAGUGCAGCCAGUACUGCGGCCUCUACGCCUCAAACUGCCUCUACAGUGCUCUCGGCUGGAGUGACAUCAACCACUGCAAACCUUGUUGUGUCCACGGCAGUGCCUUCUGCUGAUCCAAGCACAAACGAGUCAGCUCAGACUCUGCCCACCACCACAGAUAUGACCGUCCUCACCUCUGGCAGCAUGGCCACCUCUCAAGUGUCUACAGGACUAAUGACCACGUCCACCAGCACCCCAGCAUCCCCUCCAGGUGUGACCACAACUCCUGGGGUCCCAUCAGCAGUUCCGUUCCUCACCACCACGAGGCCCUCAAACUGCAGCCGAGUGAACGUGACAUCCUGUGCCAGCUGCUCCCCAGGGACAUUUCCCAAUGAAGGGUAUUUUAGCUCCAAGCAAAAUGCAUCUUUUUGUCUGCCUUGCCCGUCUGGAUCAUUUUGCAACACCACCAGCUGCAGGGGGUGUCUGCCGUGCCCCGGUGGGCAAGAGGCUCUUCAGGAGGCAUCGGAGGAGUGCGUACCCUGCCAACCAGGUACCUUCUGCAGCGGAGGGUGGGGGCUGCCACAGCCUGGCUGGGAACGGGCAGCUUCAGUGCCAGAAGGAAGGGUUUCUUCCUGAGACACGUCUCCCUUGCCCAAGCGGACCCUG